rnacentral:tRNA from 1 species
GGGCCCAUAGCUCAGUGGUAGAGUGCCUCCUUUGCAAGGAGGAUGCNAAUGACACCCGUUCGGACACCUUAGAACUA